CUGCUGGCAGUGAAUGGGCGAAGUGAAAUGAUGUGCAAGUCAUGACGAGGUUCUGAAUGGUGGAGGAUUAUUUUGAGGAAUUAUUUUAUGAUUACAGAGAGAACCGGAGUGAAUAUGGCAUCAGACUACUGGCCAGACACUGAUUGAAUUGAAGUAAUAUCAGAAGCCCUGAGUAAUUGUCGUCGAGGAUUCAAAUGUGCUCCUGUCAGUGACUUGUGGAGGUUCCGAAUACCCCAGCAUAUGGAAUUGUGGAUGAACGAGGAUAUGGACAAUGUGAGAGAGUGUAUGUGUUCGUGGUGGAUCAGAUAGUGUACAGUCAUCCCAGGUGAUGGUGGUCUGCUACUGUGUACUCAGGUCAUCCGCGAAGAGCCGGGGAAACUGGACCUGGUGAAUGGUUUGAGGGUCUGGAGGAGAGGGGGAUUUUGAAACAGGUCUGCCAUCCAUCGGUCAUCAUUCGUCCGCUUCGUUUUAUCACAGUAGUUGAAAUGUAACAUAGAGAUACUGAGAGACACAGUUGCCUUCAACGUCAGAAUAAAUGACAAACAGAUGAAAAUUUUCGGAUGAGAUGUGGAGAUAUUUAGCAACUACUGGCCAAUAGUAAAAGGUGACUUGUCAUGUUUUACCGCUUCGCUGCUGAGUUGAGAUAACCCGAAGAAACAAACGUCCUUGUUUUCACAAUUACAUUCAUACUUAGUAAUGCAGAGAGAGAGAGUGAGAGCUGGAUUGCUACUUCUCACACACACACACUACAACGAGCUUGUUUUCCUGCCCGCUCACUCAUACGGAAAACUCGUGUGUGCAUCUCAUCUCGGAUGGGCUCUAAAUUCAUUUACUGAAGCAUUA